GCCUAACACAUGCAAGUCGAACGGCAGCGGGGGGUAGCUUGCUAUCCUGCCGGCGGGUGGCGGACGGGUGAGUAAUGCAUGGGGAGCUGCCCAGUCGAGGGGGAUAACAACUGGGAACGGUUGCUAAUACCGCAUACGCCCUAAGGGGGAAAGGUGGGGAACUUCGGUCCUACCGCGAUUGGAUGAGCCCAUGUCUGAUUAGCUAGUUGGUGGGGUAAAGGCCUACCAAGGCGACGAUCAGUAGCUGGUCUGAGAGGAUGAUCAGCCACACUGGAACUGAGACACGGUCCAGACUCCUACGGGAGGCAGCAGUGGGGAAUAUUGGACAAUGGGGGCAACCCUGAUCCAGCCAUGCCGCGUGUGCGAUGAAGGCCCUAGGGUUGUAAAGCACUUUUGGCGGGGACGACGAUGACGGUACCCGCAGAAUAAGUCACGGCUAACUUCGUGCCAGCAGCCGCGGUAA
rnacentral:rRNA from 1 species